CGUAGGGUCCAAGCGUUGUCCGGAUUUACUGGGCGUAAAGAGCGCGUAGGCGGUCUGUUAAGUGUGAAGUGAAAUCUCCAGGGCUCAACCCGGAAACUGCUUCGCAUACUGGCAGACUUGAGGAAUGCAGAGGUUUGUGGAAUUCCUGGUGUAACGGUGAAAUGUGUUGAUAUCAGGAGGAACACCCAUGGCGAAGGCAGCAAACUGGGCAUUAUCUGACGCUGAGGCGCGAAAGCGUGGGUAGCAAACAGGAUUAGAUACCCUGGUAGUCCACGCCCUAAACGAUGGAUACUAGGCGUAAGAGGUAUCGACCCCUCUUGUGCCGCAGCUAACGCAUUAAGUAUCCCGCCUGGGGAGUACGGCCGCAAGGUUG
rnacentral:rRNA from 1 species